ensembl:rRNA 5S_rRNA 5S ribosomal RNA
GCUUACGACCACACCGGCCUGAGUACAUCUGAUCUCGGAAGCUAAGCAGGGUCGGGCCUGGUUAGUACUUGGAUGGGAGACUUCCUGGGAAUACCAGGUGCUGUAAGCU